GCGUAACGCGUAUGCAACCUGCCCCCCAUCAGGGGAAUAGCCCGCCGAAAGGCGGAUUAAUGCCCCAUAGACCCAGGGCGCUGCAGUGGCGCGUAUGGGUAAAGCUCCUGCGGAUGGGGAUGGGCAUGCGUGCCAUUAGCUAGUUGGGGCGUAACGGCGCACCAAGGCGACGAUGGCUAGGGGGUCUGAGAGGAUGGUCCCCCACACUGGUACUGAGACACGGACCAGACUCCUACGGGAGGCAGCAGUGAGGAAUAUUGGUCAAUGGGCGGAAGCCUGAACCAGCCAAUGCCGCGUGCAGGAUGACGGCCCUACGGGUUGUAAACUGCUUUUCCCCGGGAAGAAUAAGCCCCUCGUGAGGGGUGAUGCCGGUACCGGGGGAAUAAGGAUCGGCUAACUCCGUGCCAGCAGCAGC
rnacentral:rRNA from 1 species